rnacentral:rRNA from 1 species
AUACGAAGGGGGCAAGCGUUGUUCGGAAUAACUGGGCGUAAAGCGCACGUAGGCGGAAUGUUAAGUUAGAGGUGAAAUCCCAGGGCUCAACCCUGGAACUGCCUUUAAUACUGGCAAUCUAGAGACCGAGAGAGGUGAGUGGAAUUCCGAGUGUAGAGGUGAAAUUCGUAGAUAUUCGGAGGAACACCAGUGGCGAAGGCGGCUCACUGGCUCGGUACUGACGCUGCGGUGCGAAAGCGUGGGGAGCAAACAGGAUUAGAUACCCUAGUAGUCC